GGUCUUACUGUCCAGAAACUGCGAUGUCACAUCCUCUCCCCUGCCCCACUGGCUGGUCAUCCACUGCCGGGCAGACCCACUGCCAGCGCUGUGACGCUCCAGCGUGCGGAGCAGUGGGCCCCCGUCAGCCAGUCCACAGAUCCGGUCAGCACAUCACCUGCCGACCAGGAACCUACAAAGACAAGAGUGAAGAGACAUGUAUUGUCUGCCCAGUAGGUUGGUAUUACUUCAUAUACUAUGAACAGUAACAUCUUUAUUCCCUCCUAAUAUAUAUAUAUAUAUAUAUAUAUAUAUAUAUAUAUAUAUAUAUAUAUAUAUAUAUAUAUGCACAUACUUUCCCCAGGUUAUUACUGUGUAGGUGGGGAAGUGACUCCCUGCCCUGAAGGGACGUACGGCCCUAAAGAAGGUCUGCAGAGACUCAGAGAUUGCACAGUGUGUCCUGCAGGUAGAGAAUCAGGAAAUUUGUGUACUCACAUUUACUAGCAAAUAUCCUGAAAGAAUCCCUUCGUGACUUUGUCUAUAAAUAUUUUUCUCUAGGGUUUUACUGUCUGGAAGGCAGUUCACGGAGACCCACCUCCCAGUUUCUGUGUCCACAGGGCUAUUACUGUGAAGCGGGCACCGCCACCCCUCACGGGUCACCUUGCCCCGCUGGUACAGCAGGAGAACAACUGGGUCAGACAAGUAGGGCGGCCUGUAAGAGAUGCAGGGAAGGCCGCUUCUGUCCUGCAGGCUCUUCGGGUCCUGGUUUGCCUUGUGCUCGGGGAAGAUACUGUCCCGCUGGCACCUUAGAGGAAGUGAUAUGUCCUCGAGGCACCUUCACUCCUCAUCAGGGAGCUAUAAGUGUGAAAGACUGCCUCAAAUGUCCCCGUGGCUUCUACUGCCCCGAGGGGACGAGCGACCCCGUUCCCUGUCCACCGGGCUCGUUCAACCCCCUGGAGGGUCAGGACGAGUUGGCUGACUGCAGGCAGUGCCACGCGGGAAAGGCGUGCACGCAGGUGGCCCUGAGGGCUCCCGAUGUCGGCUGCAUGCAAGGGUUUGUGUGUCCGCCCGGUUCUUCCACGCCCAACGCCCCAGCCAACGCCUGCCCACCGGGGACGCUGAGCAACCGCACUGACCUCACCCACCGCUCCCAGUGUCGGCAGUGCCCCGCGCGAUACGCCUGUCUCCGAGGAACUGGUGGCAUCCAGAGACCACCCCUCUACUGCUUCGCAGGGCAUUACUGUCCCCCUGGAACCAUGUUCCCCACACAGUACAAAUGUCCCGUGGGGACGUGGAGCGGUCAGAGUGGGCUGGAAGCGGAAAGCGAGUGUCGGCCGUGCCCACAGGGCUGGUACUGUCUAACCGGGGCUGGGGCUCCAUCUGGUCGAUGCAGCUCCGGCCACUACUGUCCUCUCGGGACCGCGUACGGCACCCAGUUCCCUUGCCCCGCGGGCACCUACAGCAUCCAAAUGGGAAACAGACACAGGGAAGACUGCCUGAUCUGUCCCGAAGGCUCGUUCUGUCAACGGGGCACCUCCAAACCGUCCCCCUGCCCCGUGUAG
rnacentral:lncRNA from 1 species